rnacentral:lncRNA from 1 species
CUCACCAACUCUUGGUCAUCAUCAUUAUCUAAUUUAGAGAUCAUGGAACAUUCUCUCUGUCCAGUUAGAAAGGUGACUGAUAUUGCUGGGAUUUUUUUCCCCAUGUAAACAAACAUUCAUCUCUUUCAUUUUGGCGUGGAAUGUGAGGCCUCCGCGGCUGAGAACUUUCACCACUGUGAUUGAGGGGGUUUUCAUCUGCUCUCUCUAAGGAAGCGACAUAUAAGUCAAGCAUGAAAGAUGAAGAGGAGCAGAUUGUAUGCAGAGCAGAGGGAAGAGCAAGCUGAUGGAGGAGACUAACCAGUGAGCUUGAUGGUAAGUGCUCAAGGAAGCCCAGCUUUCUCAACAUCACCAACUGCUCAGAAGCCUUCAG